GAUGAAGAACGCAGCGAAAUGCGAUAAGUAAUGUGAAUUGCAGAAUUCAGUGAAUCAUCGAAUCUUUGAACGCACAUUGCGCCCCUUGGUAUUCCGAGGGGCAUGCCCGUUCGAGCGUCAUUAUACCCCUCAAGCCUAGCUUGGUGUUGGGGCCUGCUGUUACCGGCAGCCCUUAAAAUCAGUGGCGGUGCCAUCUGGCUCUAAGCGUAGUAAUACUUCUCGCUACAGGGUCCCGGUGGAUGCUUGCCAUCAACCCCUAAUUUUCUAUGGUUGACCUCGGAUCGGGUAGGGAUACCCGCUGAACUUAAGCAUAUCAAUAAGCGGAGG
rnacentral:misc_RNA from 1 species